GGUCCUUGAUGUGUAGGAUAGGUGGGAGGCUUUGAAGCGUGGACGCCAGUCUGCGUGGAGCCAACCUUGAAAUACCACCCUUUAAUGGCUGGUGUUCUAACGUAGACCCGUAAUCCGGGUUGCGGACAGUGUCUGGUGGGUAGUUUGACUGGGGCGGUCUCCUCCCAAAGAGUAACGGAGGAGCACGAAGGUUAGCUAAUCCUGGUCGGACAUCA
rnacentral:rRNA from 1 species